CCAUGCCAAAGGUGAAGCGUUUCCGAAAUCCACAAAAAUCAUCACUUCAGCCUCCAACUAAUUCUUUACCAUCAACAAAUCCUGCACCAACAAAUGAAACCUCAUCACACACUUCAAUGAGCACAACACCACCAAUAGAUUCCUCAUUACCCACUGAGAACUCACAGCAACCUGAAACAUCUACAAAACAUGCUCGACGUGAAUCUUCAUCAUAUUAGACUGUUCAUGCAAUAGACUUAGAAGGAGUUAUCAAGAAAAUUAAGGUGAAGGUCAGAGAAGUAAAUAACUUACCUCGUGGGGAACGCAUCAUUGUGGACUUUGAUGAGUUAGUCAUGGCAAUUGGUGAAGGACAAGGCGUGCUUGCAGGAUAUUGUGGUUCAUUGGCAAUUGAUUGUAAUUUGUUUCCAAUUAAUUUUGAAAGAUGGUCUGGGAAAACAGGCAUGCCUGACACUUACUUUUUCGAAUGCUUUAAGGAAAUAUUACAGCCUCGGUUUUGUUUUAAGACUGGUGAAGCUAGUGCACAACGGUAUUGCAAACUAACUCUUGGUAGGAAGUGGGCUGCACAUAGGCAGAAUUUAUGGAAUGAGUUCUAUGAUCUAACAAAAAGCAAAAAUG